UAGGGCACAGGACAGAAGAACAUGGGAAGAAUCCAGAGUAUGAAGGUCAAAUGUUGGGGUGGUGUCUUAAGACAAUACUGGAGCUUGAAAGUAGGGGAUGCUCAAUGGCUGAGAGGAGGAGGGUGAUGGAAUGGGGUACUGGGAGGUAUUAUAGACACAUUUUAUCUUUUAAAAUUGUGACUUGACCGGUCUGGUGACAUAGCUUUGUCCCCUAGGUAAAGCCUGAGCACAGGGGGUCUACAGCUCCAAUAGCUGGAUGCUGGGACAGAUCUAAUCAUUCUCAGCAGCCUGGAGGGGACUCUGGCUCACAGGCUGGUUUCUACCUCUACUUAAAAGUGAAACAACACAGGGAAGCAGGAUCCUACAGAUAGCUGACAGUGACCUGAAUGAGGCGGAAGUGGGUUGAGUGUACCUACAAGCCACCACAGCUGUUAGAAGCUGGAUUUCACAUCCUGAGCUUGACCAAAGGGAACAGCCCAAGGAAGGAAGUGGUUUAUCUGAAAGCCUAGGUCUCCAAGGGACAGGAUGUUUGUGGCUCUGAUAUUUCACUUAGAAGGCAGCCUGAUUGAACAGGUGGUCCCUCCCAUCAGCCCUGGCAGGCUGCUUACAGCUGCCCCUAGGGCUCCUGCAGAGGAAACCUAUCACAUGAUGUCUAGACUCCUGGAUGUUGCAUGGUACAAUGGUGGAAGAGGCAUUUAAAAACAGUAUUCUGAGAAGGGAGCCAUAGGUGCCCCAGACUGCCAAAAGAGUCCCUGACACAACAGAGUUAAGGACCCCUGUCUUAAGUUCUACGCAACAACUCAAUGAGGCCUUGUACAGCCUUUUGGCAUCUUGAGCAACAUCAAAGCCUUGGUGACUUGAAGAAGUGGUCUGAAAAAAUAAGGAAAAAGAACUUCCCUUAAGAUGCCAAAGAACAAGUCUACCAUGAAAGCCUUCCACUUGAGAGCCCUUUGCAUACUCCAAGAGCAUCCCCCUCCUUUUUCUCUCAGUCUCCUCUUCUCCAUGGUAAACAUCUUCACUUCCUUCAGCUUAUCUUCAUAUGACAGAAACUCAAGACCCUUCAUUAUUUUGCUUGCCCUUCCCUGGACACUAAUCAACUUACCAAUGUUGGUAAGUUCUUCUUCUAAACUGUAGUGUCUAGAACUGAACAUGAUGCUCUGAGUGUGGUCUGAUGAGGACAGAGUAUAGUGGGACCAUCACCUCCUUAUUUCUGGAAGUUGUACCUCUCUUAACAAGCCCAAGACCACACGUGUUUUUGUUUUUGUUCUUUUUGCCUGCUUUGUCUCAAAGUCAAUUUACACUGAUUGAGUUUACAGUCUACUAAGAGCCCCAGAUUGCUUUCCACUUUGGUCCACUGCUUCACACCUGAGGUCUCUCAACCACAAUUAAAGUGUCCAAGAACAAGUCAUCUUUGUCUCCGUGCCUUGAACUCUAUAAUUUAGUGACAUUGACUUCCUUGACGUUCCUUGAACUGAGCUCUCAGUUUCCUCAUCUGUAAAAUAGAGACAAUAAUGCCAGCUCUGCCUAACCCACAGGAUUUUGGAAAGGAGGUAUGUAAACUAUUCGGUAAAAUGUAGGUAUUCUAUAAAUGUCAGCUAUUAUUAUUGGCUGUUUGCCAAGAAAUCUUUAAAAUUAUUAUUGCUAUCCCCAUUGUACAGGUAAGAAAACCGAGAGUCAGAGACGUUAAGUUUAGUGAUUACACUUGGACUCUGAAACACAGUGGGCUUGCCUUAAUGUAGAGGCAGAAGAAGCAAGUACCUAUAGUCUGCGCUUUAUGAGCUUCCCUGGAUGGUCCCAGGAGGAGGGAAUAGUAGGGUUUAGUUAGUAGAAAAAAACAGUAGGCAGAAUCAGAACACUCGGAUUUAAGUUCAUGACCCAAUAUUCACCAGUGAUGUGUGACUUUCUCCUCUGACACCUAAUACUGAGGAGGGAUAAGGCUAGAUUUGAGAUCUGAGCCCUGCAUGUAAGAAGAUAUUUGUGGGGGUGGAUAGAAGGAGUGUGCCCAAAGGGCUAGAAAUCACAGUGGACUUGCCAGCCAGAAACAGGAAAGCAAGGACAAGAGGGAGGAAUGGUGGGCAUAGAUGAAGUCUCUCCAGCUACAAAAGGCCAGAUUCUAUACACUUCAGCCAAUGAACGGGCUGAGUCAGGAAGCAGUCUGAGAGGUCAGAUCCGGACACAGUAGAACAGUCAGCAGUGGGGAUGAUGGGAGAGAAGCUUAAGGAAGAACUAGCAUCCUGGAUCCUGAGUUCACUAAUUGAUUGGAUAUUAACCCUUUGGGAAAUAAGAGAAUGGAAAAA